rnacentral:misc_RNA from 1 species
GAUGAAGAACGUAGCGAAAUGCGAUAAGUAAUGUGAAUUGCAGAAUUCAGUGAAUCAUCGAAUCUUUGAACGCACAUUGCGGCCGCCAGUAUUCUGGCGGGCAUGCCUGUUCGAGCGUCAUUUCAACCAUCAAGCCCCAGGCUUGUGUUGGGGACCUGCGGCUGCCGCAGGCCCUGAAAACCAGUGGCGGGCUCGCUGUCACACCGGGCGUAGUAGAUUUUAUCUCGCUCAGGGCGUGCUGCGGGUUCCGGCCGUUAAAAAGCCUUUUUUACCCAAGGUUGACCUCGGAUCAGGUAGGAAGACCCGCUGAACUUAAGCAUAUCAAUAAGCGGAGGA